rnacentral:rRNA from 1 species
GGGAUUGCUCUAGUAACGGCGAGUGAAGCAGCAAUAGCUCAAAUUUGAAAUCUGGCGCCUUCGGCGUCCGAGUUGUAAUUUGUAGAGGAUGCUUCUGGGCAGCCACCGACCUAAGUUCCUUGGAACAGGACGUCAUAGAGGGUGAGAAUCCCGUAUGCGGUCGGAAAGGCACCCUACACGUAGCUCCUUCGACGAGUCGAGUUGUUUGGGAAUGCAGCUCUAAAUGGGAGGUAAAUUUCUUCUAAAGCUAAAUAUUGGCCAGAGACCGAUAGCGCACAAGUAGAGUGAUCGAAAGAUGAAAAGCACUUUGGAAAGAGAGUUAAAAAGCACGUGAAAUUGUUGAAAGGGAAGGGAUUGCAACCAGACUUGCUCGCGGUGUUCCGCCGGUCUUCUGACCGGUCUACUCGCCGCGUUGCAGGCCAGCAUCGUCUGGUGCCGCUGGAUAAGACUUGAGGAAUGUAGCUCCCUCGGGAGUGUUAUAGCCUCUUGUGAUGCAGCGAGCGCCGGGCGAGGUCCGCGCUUCGGCUAGGAUGCUGGCGUAAUGGUUGUAAUCCGCCCGUCUUGAAACACGGACCAAGGAGUCUAACAUCUAUGCGAGUGUUCGGGUGUCAAACCCCUACGCGUAAUGAAAGUGAACGGAGGUGAGAACCGCAAGGUGCAUCAUCGACCGAUCCUGAUGUCUUCGGAUGGAUUUGAGUAUGAGCAUAGCUGUUGGGACCCGAAAGAUGGUGAACUAUGCCUGAAUAGGGUGAAGCCAGAGGAAACUCUGGU